UGCCACCUUCUCUGGCUCUAGCUGACACAUUUUACAAGGAGGUCAGCCUCCGAGCCCUCAGCUGGGCAAUCACGUGGCUGCCUGGGCCUGGUACUGGGCCAGCCUGGCCUCCGCCGUCUGUGCUUGCUCCUUGGGGUUCUGUCCGUCUUCUCUGGGUGGGACCAUCCAGAAAGAUCCCUGUUAUCUGGAAGCAGAAGGAAGAACUUUCUGUGCUCCCACUUGGCUGGGUCAGGGAGCGACUCCUCGGAAAUAACACACCAACAUUAGGACAUGGGUCCUGCUUGUUGAUUCAAAAAAUGGGAAAGCCAUUUUGGAAGAAGAAAGGAAGCUGUUUUUUCUUCUAGAUCCUCCCUCAUUUUUGGAACACUAGAACCAGUUUGUUAAAACCUACAGAAGCAUGGAUACAGCACUUUUUCUGUAAGGUAAGUAGUGAUGUCCCCUGUUUCCUGCUUGGUUUUAGUAAGAAAUCUUCUCACUUUUUUUCUUGGUCAUUCUCAAUAAAGGUUUGUUAAUUUUGUUGAGCUUUUCA
rnacentral:lncRNA from 12 species